UUUGCCUCUAAAAACAUUGCAGGUGUGGCUGGGUCACAUGUGCGUCAGUAGGUGGCAUUGAGGAGAGAGGCUAUGUCUAUGCUCAGCAUUCUGAUCUGUGAACAUCUGAAUGAUUAGCAGACUUAACAUU
ensembl:snoRNA Gm25763 small nucleolar RNA SNORA17